CCUACGGGGGGCAGCAGUGGGGAAUAUUGGACAAUGGGGGCAACCCUGAUCCAGCCAAGCCGCGUGUGUGAAGAAGGCCCUCGGGUUGUAAAGCACUUUCAGUGAGGAAGAACGCCUGGUGGUUAAUACCCAUCAGGAAAGACAUCACUCACAGAAGAAGCACCGGCUAACUCCGUGCCAGCAGCCGCGGUAAUACGGAGGGUGCGAGCGUUAAUCGGAAUUACUGGGCGUAAAGCGCGCGUAGGUGGCUUGAUAAGCCGGUUGUGAAAGCCCCGGGCUCAACCUGGGAACGGCAUCCGGAACUGUCAAGCUAGAGUGCAGGAGAGGAAGGUAGAAUUCCCGGUGUAGCGGUGAAAUGCGUAGAGAUCGGGAGGAAUACCAGUGGCGAAGGCGGCCUUCUGGACUGACACUGACACUGAGGUGCGAAAGCGUGGGUAGCAAACAGGAUUAGAUACCCGUGUAGUC
rnacentral:rRNA from 1 species